rnacentral:rRNA from 1 species
UACGUAGGGUGCGAGCGUUAAUCGGAAUUACUGGGCUUAAAGGGCGCGUAGGCGGCCGAGCGGGUCGCGGGUGAAAUCCCCCAGCUUAACUGGGGAACUGCCCUCGAUACCACUGCGGCUCGAGGAAGGAAGGGGCAAUCGGAACUGUCGGUGGAGCGGUGAAAUGCGUUGAUAUCGACAGGAACGCCGGUGGCGAAAGCGGAUUGCUGGUCCUUUUCUGACGCUGAGGCGCGAAAGCCAGGGGAGCAAACGGG